rnacentral:rRNA from 1 species
AGUGAACGCUGGCGGUAGGCCUAACACAUGCAAGUCGAACGGCAGCACAGUAAGAGCUUGCUCUUACGGGUGGCGAGUGGCGGACGGGUGAGGAAUACAUCGGAAUCUACUUUUUCGUGGGGGAUAACGUAGGGAAACUUACGCUAAUACCGCAUACGACCUACGGGUGAAAGCAGGGGAUCUUCGGACCUUGCGCGAUUGAAUGAGCCGAUGUCGGAUUAGCUAGUUGGCGGGGUAAAGGCCCACCAAGGCGACGAUCCGUAGCUGGUCUGAGAGGAUGACCAGCAAAAGUGAAAGUGAGACAGGGUCCAGCCCCCGCGGGGGGGCAGCGGGGGGAAUUUUUGGAAAAGGGGGGCAGGCUUGAUCAAGCCAUCCCGGGGGGGGGAAGAGGCCUUUGGGGUGUUAAACCCUUUUUGUGGGGAAAAAAAGGCAGGAGUUUAAUCCCCCGCUGUUCGGAGGGAACCAAAAAAAAAAGCACCGGCAAACUUGGUG